UACAGAGGGUGCAAACGUUGUUCGGAAUUACUGGGCGUAAAGCGUGUGUAGGCUGUUUAGCAGGUCGGAUGUGAAAGCCCUCGGCUCAACCGGGGAAGUGCAUUCGAAACCGCAAAGCUAGAGUGUCGGAGAGGAAGGCGGAAUUGUCGGUGUAGAGGUGAAAUUCGUAGAUAUCGACAGGAACACCUGCGGCGAAAGCGGCCUUCUGGACGAACACUGACGCUGAAACACGAAAGCGUGGGGAGCAAACAGG
rnacentral:rRNA from 1 species